AUUGAACGCUGGCGGCAUGCUUUACACAUGCAAGUCGAACGGCAGCGGGGGCUUCGGCCUGCCGGCGAGUGGCGAACGGGUGAGUAAUGCAUCGGAACGUGCCCAGUCAUGGGGGAUAACUACGCGAAAGCGUAGCUAAUACCGCAUACGCCCUGAGGGGGAAAGCGGGGGAUCGCAAGACCUCGCGUGAUUGGAGCGGCCGAUGUCGGAUUAGCUAGUUGGUGGGGUAAAGGCCUACCAAGGCGACGAUCCGUAGCGGGUCUGAGAGGAUGAUCCGCCACACUGGGACUGAGACACGGCCCAGACUCCUACGGGAGGCAGCAGUGGGGAAUUUUGGACAAUGGGGGGCAACCCUGAUCCAGCCAUGCCGCGUGAGUGAAGAAGGCC
rnacentral:rRNA from 1 species